rnacentral:rRNA from 1 species
UACGUAGGGUGCAAGCGUUAAUCGGAAUUACUGGGCGUAAAGCGUGCGCAGGCGGUUUUGUAAGUCUGUCGUGAAAUCCCCGGGCUCAACCUGGGAAUUGCGAUGGAGACUGCAAGGCUAGAAUCUGGCAGAGGGGGGUGAGAAUUCCACGUGUGAGCAGUGAAAUGCGUAGAGAUGUGGAGGAACACCGAUGGCGAAGGCAGCCCCCUGGGUCAAGAUUGACGCUACAUGCACGAAGGCGUGGGGAGCAAA